AUACUUACCUGGCAGGGGAGAAACCAUGAUCACUGAGGUGGUUCACCUGGGGUGAAGCUCAGCCAUUGCACUCGAGGUUGCGCUGACCCUUGCGAAUGGGGAUGAGGUGGUCAGGAGUGUCCCCACCCCCACCCCCCCUUUAGGUCUCUAGGUUUUUUGGCUCAUGCCCUACUUGAUAUCUUUGGCUUC
rnacentral:snRNA from 1 species